AGCGAACGCUGGCGGCAUGCCUAACACAUGCAAGUCGAACGAGACCUUCGGGUCUUGUGGCGCACGGGUGCGUAACGCGUGGGAACCUGCCCUUAGGUUCGGCAUAACUCCCCGAAAGGGGUGCUAAUACCGGAUAAUGUCUUCGGACCAAAGAUUUAUCGCGUUUGGAUGGGCCCGCGUUGGAUUAGCUAGUUGGUAGGGUAAAAGCCUACCAAGGCGCCGAUCCAUAGCUGGUCUGAGAGGAUGAUCAGCCACACUGGGACUGAGACGCGGCCCAGACUCCUACGGGAAGCAGCAGUGGGGAAUAUUGGACAGUGGGCGAAAGCCUGAUCCAGCAAUGCCGCGUGAGUGAUGAAGGCCUUAGGGUAGUAAAGCUCUUUUACCCGGGAUGAUAAUGACAGUACCGGGAGAAUAAGCUCCGGCUAACUCCGUG
rnacentral:rRNA from 1 species